UGGGGAAUUUUGGACAAUGGGGGCAACCCUGAUCCAGCAAUGCCGCGUGUGUGAAGAAGGCCUUCGGGUUGUAAAGCACUUUUGUCCGGAAAGAAAACGUCGUGGUUAAUACCCGUGGCGGCUGACGGUACCGGAAGAAUAAGCACCGGCUAACUACGUGCCAGCAGCCGCGGUAAUACGUAGGGUGCAAGCGUUAAUCGGAAUUACUGGGCGUAAAGCGUGCGCAGGCGGUCCGCUAAGACAGAUGUGAAAUCCCCGGGCUUAACCUGGGAACUGCAUUUGUGACUGGCGGGCUAGAGUAUGGCAGAGGGGGUAGAAUUCCACGUGUAGCAGUGAAAUGCGUAGAGAUGUGGAGGAAUACCGAUGGCGAAGGCAGCCCCCUGGGCCAAUACUGACGCUCAUGCACGAAAGCGUGGGGAGCAAACAGGAUUCAGAUACCCUGGUAGUCCACGCCCUAAACGAUGU
rnacentral:rRNA from 1 species